rnacentral:rRNA from 1 species
AUUGAACGCUGGCGGCAUGCUUUACACAUGCAAGUCGAACGGUAACAGGCCGCAAGGUGCUGACGAGUGGCGAACGGGUGAGUAAUGCAUCGGAACGUGCCCAGUCGUGGGGGAUAACUACUCGAAAGAGUAGCUAAUACCGCAUACGAUCUAUGGAUGAAAGCGGGGGACCGUAAGGCCUCGCGCGAUUGGAGCGGCCGAUGUCAGAUUAGGUAGUUGGUGGGGUAAAGGCUCACCAAGCCAACGAUCUGUAGCUGGUCUGAGAGGACAACCAGCCACACUGGGACUGAGACUCGGCCCAGACUCCUACGGGAGGCAGCAGUGGGGAAUUUUGGACAAUGGGCGCAAGCCCGAUCCAGCAAUGCCGCGUGCAGGAAGAAGGCCUUCGGGUUGUAAACUGCUUUUGUACGGAACGAAACGGCUCUGGUUAAUACCCGGGGCUAAUGACGGUACCGUAAGAAUAAGCACCGGCUAACUACGUG